AACGAACGCUGGCGGCGUGCUUAACACAUGCAAGUCGAACGGUAAGGCCCUUCGGGGUACACGAGUGGCGAACGGGUGAGUAACACGUGGGUGAUCUGCCCUGCACCUCGGGAUAAGCCCGGGAAACUGGGUCUAAUACCGGAUAGGACCACUGCCUGCAUGGGGGGUGGUGGAAAGCUUUUGCGGUGUGGGAUGGGCCCGCGGCCUAUCAGCUUGUUGGUGGGGUGAUGGCCUACCAAGGCGACGACGGGUAGCCGGCCUGAGAGGGGGACCGGCCACACUGAGACUGAGAUACGGCCCAGACUCCUACGGGAGGCAGCAGUGGGGAGUAUUGCACAAUGGGCGCAAGCCUGAUGCAGCGACGCCGCGUGAGGGAUGACGGCCUUCGGGUUGUAAACCUCUUUCAGCACCGACGAAGCGCAAGUGACGGUAGGUGCAGAAGAAGGACCGGCCAACUACGUGCCAGCCGCCGCAGUAA
rnacentral:rRNA from 1 species